rnacentral:rRNA from 1 species
UACGGAGGGUGCGAGCGUUGUUCGGAAUCACUGGGCGUAAAGGGCGUGUAGGCGGUCCGUUAAGUCUGAUGUGAAAGCCCGGGGCUCACCCCCGGAAGGGCAUUGGAAACUGACGGACUCGAGUCCCGGAGAGGAGGGUGGAAUUCCCGGUGUAGCGGUGAAAUGCGUAGAGAUCGUAAGGAAGGCCAGUGGCGAAGGCGAGUUCCUGGACAGUUACUGACGCUGAGGCACGAAGGCCAGGGGAGCAAACGGG